rnacentral:lncRNA from 1 species
CUCUGAUUUCUCUAGAACACAAGAGUGCUUAGUUUUGCUAGCGAAGAACUAAUCGCUUGACACGGUCGCUAAAGUGUGGACUUGAUAGAGGGGAUACGCUUGGAUCCCUGCGAGCAACCGAUUGCUUCUAAUCCCGACAUCAACCGGAGUGCGAAAAGGUAUGAGAUUAUUUUCUCGCUCUCUCAUCAUGUUAACGUGAAGUCGUUAAUGUCGUUGG